rnacentral:rRNA from 1 species
CAAUAGCGUAUAUUAAAGUUGUUGCGGUAAAAAAGCUCGUAGUUGGAUUUCUGUUGAGAGCGACCGGUCCAUACCAUGUAUGCGUAUCUGGCUUGCUCUCGGCAUCCUCUCGAUAGACGUUACUGCGCUUGAUUGCGUGGUGCGGAUCUCGGGACUUUUACUUUGAGGAAAUUAGAGUGUUCGCGGCAGGCUUUCGCCAGAAUACAUUAGCAUGGAAUAAUACUAUAGGAUCUUGGUUCUAUUUUGUUGGUUUCUAGAAUUGAGAUAAUGAUUAAUAGGGACAAUUGGGGGCAUUCGUAUCAACACGUCAGAGGUGGAAUUCUUGGAUUGUGUUGCGACGAACUACUGCGAAAGCAUUUGCCAAGGAUGUUUUCAUUGA